GAUGAACGCUGGCUACAGGCUUAACACAUGCAAGUCGAGGGGAAACGGCAUUGAGUGCUUGCACUGAAUGGACGUCGACCGGCGCACGGGUGAGUAACGCGUAUCCAACCUUCCCGUUACUGCGGGAUAACCUGCCGAAAGGCAGACUAAUACCGCAUGUUCUUCGAUGACGGCAUCAGAUUCGAAGCAAAGAUCCGUCGGUAACGGAGGGGGAUGCGUCUGAUUAGCUAGUUGGCGGGGCGACGGCCCACCAAGGCGACGAUCAGUAGGGGUUCUGAGAGGAAGGUCCCCCACAUUGGAACUGAGACACGGUCCAAACUCCUACGGGAGGCAGCAGUGAGGAAUAUUGGUCAAUGGGCGGAAGCCUGAACCAGCCAAGUAGCGUGCAGGAGGACGGCCCUACGGGUUGUAAACUGCUUUUAUGCGGGGAUAAAGUGAGGGACGC
rnacentral:rRNA from 1 species